rnacentral:rRNA from 1 species
GAUGAACGCUGGCGGCGUGCCUAAUACAUGCAAGCCGAGCGAACAGAUGAGGAGCUUGCUCCUCUGACGUUAGCGGCGGACGGGUGAGUAACACGUGGAUAACCUACCUAUAAGACUGGGAUAACUUCGGGAAACCGGAGCUAAUACCGGAUAAUAUAUUGAACCGCAUGGUUCAAUAGUGAAAGACGGUUUUGCUGUCACUUAUAGAUGGAUCCGCGCCGCAUUAGCUAGUUGGUAAGGUAACGGCUUACCAAGGCAACGAUGCGUAGCCGACCUGAGAGGGUGAUCGGCCACACUGGAACUGAGACACGGUCCAGACUCCUACGGGAGGCAGCAGUAGGGAAUCUGCCGCAAUGGGCGAAAGCCUGACGGAGCAACGCCGCGUGAGUGAUGAAGGUCUUCGGAUCGUAAAACUCUGUUAUUAGGGAAGAACAAAUGUGUAAGUAACUAUGCACGUCUUGACGGGACCUAAUCAGAAAGCCACGGCUAACUACGU